rnacentral:lncRNA from 10 species
AUCCGCUGCUCUCUUCAGAGCUGGCAGGCAAGAACAUUUAAGUCUGCUGAAGCUGCACCUCCUCCCCCAGGUGCUUUGUCCCUGGGAGAUGGGAGUUUGAUCUAUAAGCCCCUUACUGGGGCUGCUGCCUUUCUUUCAGAGAUGCCCUGCCCAGAGAGGAAGAAUCUAGAGAGGAGUCUGGCUACAGCAGCUUUGCCAACCUGUGGAGGGCUCUUUCCAGUUUAAGUUCCAGGUGGAUUUGUUUACACUGUGAGGGGAAAACCGCGCACUUCCCAAGUGAGGCGACUCCCCACCCUGCUUUGGCUCUCACUCUGGGGGCUGCACCCACUGUCUAACCAGUCCCAAUUAGAUUAACUGGGUACCUCAGUUAGAAGUGUAGAAAUCACCUGCCUUCUGUGUUGAUCUCGCUGGGAGCUGCAGCCUGGAGCUGUUCCUAUUCGGCCAUCUUGCCAGCCACCACCUUCUUCUCAUGAGCUUUCAUCUACAAAAUUUAUUCCUUCUUGAUGACUCCUGAUCUCAGUGAAUGUACCAAGUUAGAGACCUAGGAUUCAUUGCUGAUUCCCUCUUCUUGCUCAUUUUCCACAUGCAAUCAGUCUACAAGAUUUGCCUUAUGAUUUUUUACCACAAAAUAUCUCUUGAGGCCAUCUACUUCUCACUAAUUUUACUGCCACUGCCCCAGUAAGUAAGUAUGCUAGCCCCAGUCCAAGCUAGCAUAAUCUCUCUCUCGUCAGCUUCCACUAUGGAGGCUAGAGAGGCAAAAUACUUUAUUUUCCAGUUUCUCUUGCAGAUAGAGGAUGUUCAUGUGAUUUAUUUCUGACCAUUGAGUUGUUACCAGGUGGUCUUCAGAAAGUUCCUGGAAGAUAUUGUUUUCCUAAUAGAAUGUACAGAGAUGCUGGCAUUGUCCCUUGAUAUGUUUCAGCCAUUUUGAAUGCAGACUUCAUGCCCAGAGUUGAAACAGUCAUUCUGUAACCAUGAAGGAAAGGCCACUGAAAUCCACAGAGAUGCUGGCUGGACAUUUUUGAACCACGAAAUGAAUGGCCAUAGCUGCCUAUCUCUCAUCAUACUGUCACGUCUCAAUUAAAGCUAUGCAUGUGCAUUUCUUGAAGAUCAUCACAUCACAAACAGCAGAUGAAAAAAUAGCUUCCUGUGUUCCUAUGAAGACAGGCACUGUGGUUAGUGAUAGCUUUCACUGAACUGGAUUUCAGGACAGCAGUUAGAGAUUGACAUCAUUACCCUUCUGAAUCAAGAGGCGACAUGACUGACAUCACCUUUGAGUUUCCAGCCUCCUGGUGAUAUUGUUUGCUGCAUCUUACACCACAUACCUCAGUCAGCUUACUUUGCCCUGCUUCCAGGCAUCUGUGAACCAUCUGGCCUCUUGACGGAUCUGGCAUAUUUCAUGUAGAGAUGCUGAAUUCCAAAACUGGGCACCUAAAGGCUGAGCAUGAGGGAACAGGUCUUCUAAUCAGCCCUGAUCUCCUGCCAGUGGCCCCAAUGGCCAAAGCCAACCUGAAGCCAGAACAUAAAUAGAUCAGUUUUCUUGGUCACAGAGCAGGGUAGGGAAAGAUGGAGAGUAGAACUGGAAGAGAAAAUGACAAAUUCCAGCAUGCCAUUUGAAAUAGAUUAAAUGACUUAGAUGUUUCUGAAUUCAUGCAAUUUUUGGACAGCUUAAAAGAAUAGGACUUGUACUGCUUGAUUUAAGACACAUUUCAAUGUAAAGUUAAAUCAGCUUUUGUAGUCACAAUAUGUACUCUUACUGAACAAUGAUUGACAUGGUAAUAUCCUUCAGAAUUCCCCAUGCAUACUGCUCCUACAUCAUGUCCUCCAAUUUUGUAUUUGGGAAGUUUUCUUUUUGGAGCUAUGUAUAAGACUUGACAUUUAUUUAAAUUAAGGUUUGUGAUAAUCAAUUUGGAUUAUGUUUCAGUCUCCUGAGAUUUUUCUGGAGUUUGACAUUUUAUUGUAUCAGUGCUCUCUGUAGCUUUUUGUCAUGCUUACGUACUAUCAGCUGCAAUGAUCAUCCAAUCCUUGAUAACGAUGCUACAUUGGGCAUGGCCGUAGGUAGAUCCCUGAAGCAUACUACUAUAGACUACACUCCAGAAUGGCAAUAAUUCAUAAUGUAUUAUUCAGGUUAGACUAGGUUGUGCUGCAAUAACAAAUGAACCUUCCAAAUCUCAGUGACUUUCCAUACCAAAGUUUAUUUUUUACUCAUGCUGCAUACAUAGUCCAUGUAUUUCUGCUCACAGUUCAGUGGUUGAACCUCGUCAUAUAUCCUCAAUCUAACCAUAAAGGAGUUAAAAAUGUGGGAGGAUACAUAAAUAUUUGAUGAGAAUUAAAUUUUAAUAUCAUUUGCAUCCAUUCCUUUGACCAAUUUUGAAUCCACCUGAUACUAAUCUUAUCUAUAUUUCUCCAUCUUUUAAUGACUUGUUAUUUAUUGAAGGCCUUUUAUAGAAUAACAAUAAUUAAACAUACACUCCAAGACCAUCCAGUGGGAUAGGAAUUAUCAUUUUCCUUAAAUAGAUGAGAAAACUAAAGAUUAGAAGUUAAGGCCGGGCACGAUGGCUCACGCCUAUAACCCCAGCACUCUGGGAG